UACGUAGGGUGCAAGCGUUGUCCGGAAUUAUUGGGCGUAAAGAGCGUGUAGGCGGCCAGGUAGGUCAGCUGUGAAAACUCGAGGCUCAACCUCGAGACGCCGGUUGAAACCAUCUGGCUAGAGUCCGGAAGAGGAGUGUGGAAUUCCCGGUGUAGCGGUGAAAUGCGCAGAUAUCGGGAAGAACACCCGUGGCGAAGGCGGCACUCUGGGACGGUACUGACGCUGAGACGCGAAAGCGUGGGGAGCGAACAGG
rnacentral:rRNA from 1 species